AAUUUUGGACAAUGGGCACAACCCUUAUCCAGCCAGGCCGCGUGAGUGAAGAAGGCCCUCGUGUUCCAAAGCUCUUCCGGACGGCAAGAAAUCUCGCAGGCUAAUACCUUGCGCCGAUUACGGUACCGUCAUAAUAAGUACCUGCUCACUACGUGCCAGCAGCCGCGGUAAUACGUAGGGUGCGAGAGUUAAUCGGAAUUACUGGGCGUAAAGCGUGCGCAGGCGGUUGAUUAAGACAGGCGUGAAAUCCCCGGGCUUAACCUGGGAACUGCGCUUGUGACUGGUCAGCUAGAGUACGGCAGAGGGGGGUGGAAUUCCACGUGUAGCAGUGAAAUGCGUAGAGAUGUGGAGGAACACCGAUGGCGAAGGCAGCCCCCUGGGCCGAUACUGACGCUAAUGCACGAAAGCGUGGGUAGCAAACAGG
rnacentral:rRNA from 1 species